CAGUCGCCACGGGAAUACGAAGGGUGCAAGCGUUAAUCGGAAUUACUGGGCGUAAAGCGUGCGUAGGCGGCUUUUUAAGUCGGAUGUGAAAUCCCUGAGCUUAACCUAGGAAUUGCAUUCGAUACUGGGAAGCUAGAGUGUGGGAGAGGAUGGUAGAAUUCCAGGUGUAGCGGUGAAAUGCGUAGAGAUCUGGAGGAAUACCGAUGGCGAAGGCGGCCAUCUGGCCUAAUACUGACGCUGAGGUACGAAAGCAUGGGGAGCAAACAGGAUUAGAUACCCGUGUAGUCCCUGUCUCUUAUAC
rnacentral:rRNA from 1 species